CGCUACUACCGAUUGUAUGGCUAAGUGAGACUUUCGGACUGGCUCAGAAAGGUCGGCAACGACCAUUCAGAGCUGGAAAGUUGUUCAAACUUGGUCAUUUAGAGGAAGUAAAAGUCGUAACAAGGUU
rnacentral:rRNA from 1 species